GACGAACGCUGGCGGCGUGCUUAACACAUGCAAGUCGAACGGAAAGGCCCUGCCUUUGUGGGGUGCUCGAGUGGCGAACGGGUGAGUAACACGUGAGUAACCUGCCCUUGACUUUGGGAUAACUUCAGGAAACUGGGGCUAAUACCGGAUAGGAGCUCCUGCUGCAUGGUGGGGGUUGGAAAGUUUCGGCGGUUGGGGAUGGACUCGCGGCUUAUCAGCUUGUUGGUGGGGUAGUGGCUUACCAAGGCUUUGACGGGUAGCCGGCCUGAGAGGGUGACCGGCCACAUUGGGACUGAGAUACGGCGCAGACGCGUACGGGAGGCAGCAGUGGGGAAUAUUGCACAGUGGGCGGAAGCCUGAUGCGGCGACGCCGCGUGCGGGAUGACGGCCUUCGGGUUGUAAACCGCUUUCGCCUGUGACGAAGCGUGAGUGACGGUAAUGGGUAAAGAAGCACCGGCUAACUACGUG
rnacentral:rRNA from 1 species